rnacentral:rRNA from 1 species
GACGAACGCUGGCGGCGUGCUUAACACAUGCAAGUCGAACGGAAAGGCCCUGCUUGUGUGCGGUGCUCGAGUGCCGGACGGGUACGUAACACGUGUGUAACCUGCCCUUGUUUUUGGGGUAACUUCAGGAAGCUGGGCCUACUCCCGGAUAGGAUCUCCUGCUCCAUUGUGGGGGUGGGAACGUUUCGGCGGGUGGGGAUGGACUCGCGGCUUAUCGGCUUGCUGGUUGGGGAGUGGUUUACCCAGUCUUUGGCGGGUAGCCGACCUGAGAGGGUGACCGGCCACAUGGGGACUGAGGUACGGCCCAGACUCGAACGGGAGGCAGCAGGGGGGAACAUUGCACAAUGGGAGGGAGCCGGAGGCAGCAACGCCGCGUGCGUGAAGACCGCUUGCUGGUUGUAAACCGCUGCCGCCUGAGACGACGCGGUAGUGACGGUAAUGGGUGAAGAAGCACCGGCUAACUACGUG